UACGUAGGGGGCAAGCGUUGUCCGGAUUUAUUGGGCGUAAAGAGCGUGUAGGCGGCUAUACAGGUCCGUUGUGAAAACUCGAGGCUCAACCUUCAGAGGUCGAUCGAAACCAUCUGGCUAGAGUCCGGGAGAGGAGAGUGGAAUUCCUGGUGUAGCGGUGAAAUGCGCAGAUAUCAGGAAGAACACCCGUGGCGAAAGCGGCUCUCUGGAACGGUACUGACGCUGAGACGCGAAAGCGUGGGGAGCGAACAGG
rnacentral:rRNA from 1 species